CGGACGGGUGAGUAACGCGUGGGUAACCUGCCUUGUACAGGGGGAUAACAGUUGGAAACGGCUGCUAAUACCGCAUAAGCGCACGGCAUCGCAUGAUGCAGUGUGAAAAACUCCGGUGGUAUAAGAUGGACCCGCGUUGGAUUAGCUAGUUGGUGAGGUAACGGCCCACCAAGGCGACGAUCCAUAGCCGACCUGAGAGGGUGACCGGCCACAUUGGGACUGAGACACAGCCCAA
rnacentral:rRNA from 1 species